rnacentral:rRNA from 1 species
UAAGGAAUAUUGGUCAAUGGGCGGAAGCCUGAACCAGCCAUGCCGCGUGCAGGAUGACUGCCCUAUGGGUUGUAAACUGCUUUUGUCCAGGAAUAAACCUAGAUACGUGUAUCUAGCUGAAUGUACUGGAAGAAUAAGGAUCGGCUAACUCCGUGCCAGCAGCCGCGGUAAUACGGAGGAUCCGAGCGUUAUCCGGAUUUAUUGGGUUUAAAGGGUGCGUAGGCGGCCUAUUAAGUCAGGGGUGAAAUACGGUGGCUCAACCAUCGCAGUGCCUUUGAUACUGAUGGGCUUGAAUCCAUUUGAAGUGGGCGGAAUAAGACAAGUAGCGGUGAAAAUGCAUAGAUAUGUCUUAAGAACUCCGAUUGCGAAGGCAGCUCACUAAGCUGGUAUUGACGCUGAUGCACGAAAGCGUGGGGAUCGAAACAGGGAUUGAGAUAACCCCUGGUAGUCCACGCCCUAAACGAUGAUAACUCGAUGUUGGCGAUAGANAGCCAGCGUCCAAGCGAAAGCGUUAAG